rnacentral:tRNA from 1 species
GGAACGGUGGCAGAGCGGACGAAUGCAGCCGCCUUGAAAGCGGCCGUGUCUUCGGGCACCGGGGGUUCGAAUCCCCCCCGUUCCGCCA